rnacentral:rRNA from 1 species
UACAUGGGGUGCAAACGUUGCUCGGAAUUAUUGGGCGUAAAGCGCACGUAGGCGGUUCGUUAAGUCGGAUGUGAAAGCCCUCGGCUCAACUGAGGAAGUGCACCCGAAACUGGCGAGCUAGAGUACGAAAGAGGAUCGCGGAAUUCCCGGUGUAGAGGUGAAAUUCGUAGAUAUCGAGAGGAACACCGGUGGCGAAAGGCGGCCAACUGGACGAAAUACUGACGCUGGAGACUCGAAAGCCGUGGGGGAGCAAACAGG